rnacentral:rRNA from 1 species
GAUGAACGCUGGCGGCGUGCCUAAUACAUGCAAGUCGAGCGAACAGACGAGGAGCUUGCUCCUCUGACGUUAGCGGCGGACGGGUGAGUAACACGUGGAUAACCUACCUAUAAGACUGGGAUAACUUCGGGAAACCGGAGCUAAUACCGGAUAAUAUAUUGAACCGCAUGGUUCAAUAGUGAAAGACGGUUUUGCUGUCACUUAUAGAUGGAUCCGCGCCGCAUUAGCUGGUUGGUAAGGUAACGGCUUACCAAGGCAACGAUGCGUAGCCGAACUGAGAGGGUGAUAGGCCACACUGGAACUGAGACACGGUCCAGACUCCUACGGGAGGCAGCAGUAGGGAAUCUUACGCAAUGGGCGAAAGCCUGACGGAGCAACGCCGCGUGAGUGAUGAAGGUCUUCGGAUCGUAAAACUCUGUUAUGAGUGAAGAACAAAUGUGUAAGUAACUAUGCACGUCUUGACGGUACCUAAUCAGAAAGCCACGGCUAACUACGUG